UUUCUCUUUAUAAUCAAAGGGUAGUUUUGCAACUGAUAACUAAUGUGGGGAGCAGUCUUGCUGUGCUGUGCCUUUAAGCUGUGGGAUCUGUGCUAACUCUGGGGAGUUGAAGAAUUGAACCAAGUUGUUGGAUAACCACUUGAUGUGUGGAGAGUUGGAGAAUCAAUUUUUGGUGUGGGAAACACUCCAGACCUGCAUUCCAAUCUUCUCAAAUAGUACAUGAGUCAUUCACACUCAACUGCGCUCCCAAUAUUCCGAAUUACCUGUGUUUCUGAAAUUACCUUGGUCUCUUGACAGCUAUACCACCAUUGUACACGCAAGCUACUCUCUCUCCUGGAACAUCAACCAAUCCUGUCCAUCUUGCAAAAUCUUAAUUAAACUUUAAGCUCAAUUCAAAGAGCACAGUGCAGGCAUUUCUAACUUCCUCACAUUGGGUUAAAUGCCCUUUCUCUGGGCACAUUUGGCACAGAAAAUAUAUUGUUCUGCGACCACUGUCCUGCCUCUCCUGAUGGACUGUAGGCUCCUUAAGAGCAGGGAACUGGUUUCCUAUAUUAUUUUGUUUCAACAUGUUGGGCCUGGAGGAGGCAACAGUAAGUAUGGAUGGAUGGGUGCAAAUGGGGUAAACAGAUGAAUAGANNGGUAAAUAAAUGGAGUCUGUAAGAACAAAGGGAUGGGUAAAUGGACAUGAGGAAAAAUAAGUGCGUGUGUGGGAGGUGGAUCAAUGACAGGAAGGUUAGAUGGAUGGACAGAUGUCAAAGAUUUCAUUUAACUCAUGAAUACAUGUCAAUGAUUUAACUCAUUAACUAAUGAGGGAACCAGUAAGACAUUAUACACAAUUUAAAGUCAAAUCCAAAGUGCAGCCACAACUACAGCUUUUAGCCCACCCACUCCCAACAAGAUACCAACUGGCCUCACCUAAAGAAAUUCACUUGCAUCACAGGGACCACAAUAGUUUUCAUCACAAUCAGUUUUCUACUAUUUCCAAAAUAACAAAACAGCUCAGAGACCAUGAAAGCUACAAACUCCUACAGAAACAGAUAAACAUGUGACGGGUUAACACCCAACAGUCAAUGAGAAGGACAUCUGGCAAUCUUUUCUGCCUAUUUCAAAGUGUCUCAUCAUCUGACCUAGCAUGGCUUAACCAGGUGUGCAUCUCUGGAAAACCACUUCAUUUCAGAGGGCCUCAGUCUCCUCAUCAGCAAAGUGGGAUGAAAGCACAAACCCCUCCAUGCUUUUAGCAGAAAACAGCUUCAGAAGGUCUUGCUGUAGGUUUAAUAGAUAUUUCUCCACCUUCUGAGCUUCCUCCCUCUACUUCAGCACCGCCUCUGAGCCUGUUGGCCUUAGGAGGGCCCUGCCACUGUCCCCACACCUCAACAAGCAUGAACCAAGGCCACUUUCUUCAUCUCUCCUUAACAAUAACAAGACAUGUUCAGGGGAUGGAUGGGUAGAUGGACUGGAAGACAGGAGUCAGGAGAGGUGGAACAGUGAGAGGGCAGAUGGGCAAAUGAGUGCAUCAACAGAUGACCGCAGGAUGGGAGAAAGAACACAUGAACUCACGGGAGGAUAGAUGAGUGGAUGGAUAGACGGAUGAAUCAAUCAAUUCUAAUGCCUGCACAUCUAAGUCCUUAGGGUAUCUUUCCACCUGGACUCCCCUCAGAGUUCUGCUGCAUGCCAGCAACUCCUGAAAUUCAACAUGUAUAAAAUCAAACUGAUAUUAUUCUUCCCCAAACUUGAUUCCCUUCCAGUGUUCCACUCCUAGUGAAUCUAUCUACCCCGCUGCACCAAACAGAAAUCUAGGCAUCAUCCUGACUCCACCUGCUCCCUCAACCCCCACACCCAAGACAGCACCAAGCCUUACUGAUUUUACCUUCCACAUCUAUCUCUCUCCACCUCCCGGGGCACCAUCACUCCUCUCCUGGGAUAGUGCGACCACCGCUUCUCAGCCUCCUUGCCUCCAUUCUGGCUUGCCCUCAACCAUCUCAGCACUAUCAGCAAAACUCUUUUCAAACGCAGGUCUGAUUAUGCUACCACCACUCAUCCAAGCAGAGACAUCACUUCGCUGACAAAGGUCUGCCUAAUAAAAGCUAUGGUUUUUCCAGCAGUCAUGUACAGAUGUGAGAAAGCUGGACCAUAAAAAACCCUGNNNNNNNNNNNNNNNNNNNNNNNNNNNNNNNNNNNNNNNNNNNNNNNNNNNNNNNNNNNNNNNNNNNNNNNNNNNNNNNNNNNNNNNNNNNNNNNNNNNGUGAGAAAGCUGGACCAUAAAAAACCCUGAGCGCCAAAGACUGACCUUUUUGAAUUGUGGCACUAGAGAAGAAUCUUGAGAGCCCCUCAGACUGCAAGGAGAUCAAAACAGUCAGUCUUAAAGGAAAUCAUUAAAUAUUCAUUAAAGGACUGAUGCUGAAGCUGAAGCUUCAAUACUUUGCCCACCUGAUGCAAAGAGCCAACUCACUGGAAAAGAUCUUUAUGCUAGAAAAGACUGAGGGCGGGAGCAGAAGGGCCCAACAUAGAAUGAGAUGGUUAGAUGGCAUCACCAACUCAAUGGACAUGAGUUUUAG
ensembl:lncRNA